GACGAACGCUGGCGGCGUGCUUAACACAUGCAAGUCGAACGGAAAGGCCCUGCUUUUGCGGGGUGCUCGAGUGGCGAUCGGGUGAGUAACACGUGAGUAACCUGCCCUUGACUUUGGGAUAACUUCAGGAAACUGGGGCUAAUACCGGAUAGGAGCUCCUGCUGCAUGGUGGGGGUUGGAAAGUUUCGGCGGUUGGGGAUGGACUCGCGGCUUAUCAGCUUGUUGGUGGGGUAGUGGCUUACCAAGGCUUUGACGGGUAGCCGGCCUGAGAGGGUGACCGGCCACAUUGGGACUGAGAUACGGCCCAGACUCCUACGGGAGGCAGCAGUGGGGAAUAUUGCACAAUGGGCGGAAGCCUGAUGCAGCAACGCCGCGUGCGGGAUGACGGCCUUCGGGUUGUAAACCGCUUUCGCCUGUGACGAAGCGUGAGUGACGGUAAUGGGUAAAGAAGCACCGGCUAACUACGUG
rnacentral:rRNA from 1 species